CAGUAGCCGCGGGAAUACGGAGGGAGCUAGCGUUGUUCGGAAUUACUGGGCGUAAAGCGCACGUAGGCGGUUAUUCAAGUCAGAGGUGAAAGCCCGGGGCUCAACCCCGGAACUGCCUUUGAAACUAGAUGACUAGAAUCUUGGAGAGGUCAGUGGAAUUCCGAGUGUAGAGGUGAAAUUCGUAGAUAUUCGGAAGAACACCAGUGGCGAAGGCGACUGACUGGACAAGUAUUGACGCUGAGGUGCGAAAGCGUGGGGAGCAAACAGGAUUAGAUACCCCCGUAGUCCCUGUCUCUUAUAA
rnacentral:rRNA from 1 species